rnacentral:tRNA from 1 species
UUGAAUAAAUCUAAAAUUUAGAGUUUAAUUUCGACUUAAAUUUAUGAUUAAUUUAUAAUCUAUUCAUU